rnacentral:rRNA from 2 species
AACGACUCUCGGCAACGGAUAUCUCGGCUCUCGCAUCGAUGAAGAACGUAGCGAAAUGCGAUACUUGGUGUGAAUUGCAGAAUCCCGUGAACCAUCGAGUCUUUGAACGCAAGUUGCGCCCGAAGCCUUCCGGCCGAGGGCACGCCUGCCUGGGCGUC